UCUCUGCUUCAGUCUUUACUUGAAAGAAGAAUAACUCGAAAAAAAAUUGCAAAGCUUGUACAAGGGAACUCAUAGUAAAUGUCAUACAAAAGUAUUUCCGGUAUCCUCUUUCCCUCGUCCCUGCUGCACUAGAACCGUUUCGUGGAUAAUUGCAGCAAGUCUGAUCUGUGCAGCGCUUACAACCAGUGGCCUGUAGCACAAAGCGAAACGAACUAACUCGUUGUACACGGAAGCAGAUCCUGGAAGAUGACAAAAGAUGUCGGCGUUGCACAUGCAAUCUUGUGAAAACCAACAUUUGUUAACAGGAGCAAAGGAAGCAAAGUUUCCCAACUUUAGCAAAGCGUUCAUCACUUCUGAGUGGCGCAUACGCAACUCUCAAAUUAUUGCCUGGAUACCAUUCUCAGACCAAUGGGCAAACAGAGAGGAAGAUCCAGGAAAUUAGGCACUUUCUUUGCACCUAUUCCCAAAGCCACCAAACUCCCUGGCACGGGCUCCUUGCAUGGGCCAAGUAUGCUCAAAUUCUCUUCGUCAAACAGAGACUGGAUUAACACCAUCACAAACUCUCAACAGUGAAUCAUUGGUUCUGGGAACAAAAGGUG